rnacentral:rRNA from 1 species
CGAAGGGGGCUAGCGUUGUUCGGAAUUACUGGGCGUAAAGCGCGCGCAGGUGGUCUUUCAAGUCAGUGGUGAAAGCCCGGAGCUCAACUCCGGAAAUGCCAUUGAAACUGUAAGACUUGAGGAUGAGAGAGGUGAGUGGAAUUCCCAGUGUAGAGGUGAAAUUCGUAGAUAUUGGAAGAACACCGGUGGCGAAGGCGGCUCACUGGCUCAUAUCUGACGCUCAGGCGCGACAGCGUGGGGAUCAAACAGGAUUAGAUACCCUGGUAGUCCACGCCGUAAACGAUGAAUGCUAGCCGUUGGGCAGCUUGCUGUUCAGUGGCGCAGCUAACGCAUUAAGCAUUCCGCCUGGGGAGUACGGCCGCAAGGUUG